GCCGGAGUAGCUCAGUUGGUAGAGCACCUGUCUUGUAAACAGGGGGUCACGGGUUCGAGUCCCGUCUCCGGCU
rnacentral:tRNA from 1 species